GAUGAAGAACGUAGCGAAAUGCGAUAAGUAAUGCGAAUUGCAGAAUUCCGUGAGUCAUCGAAUCUUUGAACGCACAUUGCGCCCUUUGGCAUUCCGAAGGGCAUGCCUGUUCGAGCGUCAUUUAUCAACCCUCAAGCCCGGCUUGCGGUUGGGUCCCGCCGUGGGCGACCACGGCGGACCCGAAAGGUAAUGGCGGUGCCCGUGGGGCCCUGGACGCAGCGAGCUUCUCGGCACGCGUCCCGGCGGUCCCCGGCGCCGUCUCCACCAAUCCACCACGCAGAUUGACCUCGGAUCAGGUAGGGAUACCCGCUGAACUUAAGCAUAUCAAUAAGCGGAA
rnacentral:misc_RNA from 1 species